rnacentral:rRNA from 1 species
UACGUAGGGGGCAAGCGUUGUCCGGAUUUAUUGGGCGUAAAGCGCUCGCAGGUGGUUCGUUGCGUCGUGCGUGAAAGAACCCCGGCUCAACUGGGGGAUGUCGUGCGAUACGGGCGGACUGGAGGCCAGUAGGGGGAUGCGGAAUUCCGGGUGUAGGUGGUGGAAUGCGUAGAGAAUCCGGAGGAACACCAGCGGCGAAGGCGGAGCAUCCGUGGAACCAGAAAGUGAGCAGCCUGAGGCU